AGCAAGUUGUAGUAACUUAUGAAUUUUUAUUGAAAAUGUCUUAAUUUUACUAGAAAAUUGAAAUUUCUUUUGAAAUUUCGUGUACCUUUAAUAAACUAAACAGGUUUACGUCAUAACAUUCUAUAUAAAAGGACACUAUUCUCGCCUCAUUUGGUGUAUAUGCGGACUGAGUUUCGUUGACUUUAGUCACUGACGUAGCAUUUGUGACAAAACUUUCAACCUGGGCCGAAUCUGAAAAAA